rnacentral:rRNA from 1 species
UACGUAGGGGGCAAGCGUUGUCCGGAAUCAUUGGGCGUAAAGAGCGUGUAGGCGGCCCGAUAAGUCCGCCGUGAAAGUCCAGGGCUCAACCCUGGAAUGCCGGUGGAAACUGGCGGGCUGGAGUCCGGAAGAGGCGAGUGGAAUUCCUGGUGUAGCGGUGAAAUGCGCAGAUAUCAGGAGGAACACCAAUGGCGAAGGCAGCUCGCUGGGACGGUACUGACACUGAGACGCGAAAGCGUGGGGAGCGAACAGG